rnacentral:rRNA from 1 species
UAGGGAAUCUUCCACAAUGGACGCAAGUCUGAUGGAGCAACGCCGCGUGAGUGAAGAAGGUCUUCGGAUCGUAAAGCUCUGUUGUUGGUGAAGAAGGAUAGAGGCAGUAACUGGUCUUUAUUUGACGGUAAUCAACCAGAAAGUCACGGCUAACUACGUGCCAGCAGCCGCGGUAAUACGUAGGUGGCAAGCGUUGUCCGGAUUUAUUGGGCGUAAAGCGAGCGCAGGCGGAAUGAUAAGUCUGAUGUGAAAGCCCACGGCUCAACCGUGGAACUGCAUCGGAAACUGUCAUUCUUGAGUGCAGAAGAGGAGAGUGGAACUCCAUGUGUAGCGGUGGAAUGCGUAGAUAUAUGGAAGAACACCAGUGGCGAAGGCGGCUCUCUGGUCUGCGACUGACGCUGAGGCUCGAAAGCAUGGGUAGCGAACAGGAUUAGAUACCCUGGUAGUCCAUGCCGUAAACGAUGAGCGCUAGGUGUUGGGGACUUUCCGGUCCUCAGUGCCGCAGCAAAUCGCUUAAGCGCU